rfam:Schistosoma mansoni strain Puerto Rico chromosome W, complete genome
AUCUAGUUGACCAGUCCCAAAUAGGACAAAACACGCGUCCGGGAU